rnacentral:rRNA from 1 species
AUUGAACGCUGGCGGCGGGCUUAACACAUGCAAGUCGAACGAGCGGCGAACGGGUGAGUAAUGCAUGGGAAAGUACCGUGUGAAGGGGGAUAACUGCUGGAAAGGGUAGCUAAUACCGCAUAUUAUCAGAGCGGCCGAGUUGUGAUUAGCUAGUAGGCGGGGUAAAGGCACACCAAGGCGACGAUCAGUAGCUGGUCUGAGAGGAGGAUCCGCCACACGGGAACUGAGACACGGCCCAGACUCCUACGGGAGGCAGCAGUGGGGAAUAUUGGACAAUGGGCGCAAGCCUGAUCCAGCCAUGCCGCGUGUCUGAAGAAGGCCUUCGGGUUGUAAAGGACUUUUGGCAGGGAAGCGGUACCUGAAGAAUAAGCACCGGCUAACUACGUGCCAGCAGCCGCGGUAAUAC